rnacentral:misc_RNA from 1 species
GAAAUGCGAUAAGUAGUGUGAAUUGCAGAAUUCAGUGCAUCAUCGAAUCUUUGAACGCACAUUGCGCCCCUUGGUAUUCCAUGGGGCAUGCCUGUUCGAGCGUCAUUUGUACCCUCAAGCUCUGCUUGGUGUUGGGUGUUUGUCCCGUCUCCGCGCGUGGACUCGCCCCAAAGUGAUUGGCAGCCGGCGUACUGGUCCCGGAGCGCAGCACAUGUCGCGCAAACGAGUGCCUUGGUACGGCGGCGUCCAUAAGCCCCUCUCUCACGCUCUUGACCUCGGAUCAGGUAGGGAUACCCGCUGAACUUAAGC